rnacentral:rRNA from 1 species
GCGGACGCCUGAUCCAGCCAUGCCGCGUGUGUGAAGAAGGCCUUUUGGUUGUAAAGCACUUUAAGCGAGGAGGAGGCUACUGGUACUAAUACUACUGGAUAGUGGACGUUACUCGCAGAAUAAGCACCGGCUAACUCUGUGCCAGCAGCCGCGGUAAUACAGAGGGUGCGAGCGUUAAUCGGAUUUACUGGGCGUAAAGCGUGCGUAGGCGGCUGAUUAAGUCGGAUGUGAAAUCCCUGAGCUUAACUUAGGAAUUGCAUUCGAUACUGGUCAGCUAGAGUAUGGGAGAGGAUGGUAGAAUUCCAGGUGUAGCGGUGAAAUGCGUAGAGAUCUGGAGGAAUACCGAUGGCGAAGGCAGCCAUCUGGCCUAAUACUGACGCUGAGGUACGAAAGCAUGGGGAGCAAACAGGAUUAGAUACCCUGGUAGUCCAUGCCGUAAACGAUGUCUACUAGCCGUUGGGGCCUUUGAGGCUUUCAGUGGCGCAGCUAACGCGAUAAGUAGACCGCCUGGGGAGUACGGUCGCAAGACUA